rnacentral:rRNA from 1 species
GUCAAGAGUACGUGAAACCGUUUAGGGGUAAACCUGAGAAACCCGAAAGGUCGAAGGGAGAAAUUCAUUCGCGUCUCGCGGCGGAAGGCGGGCGAACUGCGAUACGACGUAUCCAGUAAUAUGCGCCGUUCCGUUUGCCCCGUCGAGUCCGUCGCGAACGCGUGCACUUUUCUUCUGGUAGGACGUCGCGAUCCGUCGGGUGUCGGUCUACGGUGCGCGGUGGAGCCCGUCUGCACUCGUUGCGGACGGACCCGCGCCAUCCCGGCCGGCUCGCUCGACGGUAUCAUUCAAGGUUCGGGGUCGCUGCUCUAUCGGAGCGUUCGGCUCGCGGCAAGCGCGCCAGUCGCGUCGGCGAUCGGACCCAGUGCCGAUUCCGACCUCUGGUGACUGUUGGCCGCGAAGUUCUCGGACAGACCGUUCGACCGAUCUGCGACGCUAUAGCUU